UCCUCUGUCAGCUGCGCUAUGCAGUGUUUUUUUUUCUUUUAAGUUUUUAAGAACAUUUCAAAAAUACGAACACAGAAUAGGAUGGAUGGGUAGCAGGAGAGGCCAUCCCAGGAUAUGCCCCUUUGGCAAAAACACCAUUUGAGCAGAUACUUUUUGAGAAAGAGCAGACAUGGGAGAAGCUCUGGACACAGUUGGAGUGACUCUACUGUAAGGGACGGUUACCUUUAUAAAGGAAAUCGCUGUUCUGUCUGGCUCCCUUUCUGCCCGGCUCUGGCUUUAAGAAGCUUCAAUCGGCAAAACAAACCCAACUGCACCCGUGUUCCCUGUGCUGUUCCUGUAAACCCCUCACAACUGCCCCCGAGUUCCUGCUUCUGCCUUUCGCUGCAGAUGCUGUUUAAGGUGGUAGCUUGGCGUUACUCAGUUUUUCUGGGCAUCUCCCAUGUAUAUAGGAGGUAUGCGUAUUAAUAAGCUUCUGUUUGCUUUUCUCUCAUGAUCCUGCCUUUUAUUGUAGGGGGGGUCUCAUCCAAGAACUCAGAAAAGUGGGAAGAUUCCUUCCUCCCCUGCAGGGUGAUCAAGCCCUUACAGAACCCUAAGCCAGCCUCAGUACUAUCAACUCAGGACCAGUCUUGCCUCUUUAACAUCAUUACUAUCCAGACAGUAUUCACAUUUCUUUGUCUUUUUUUUUUUUUAAUUUUCUCCUCGUCAUUUGAAGGCGUACCU